CGUAGGGUGCGAGCGUUAAUCGGAAUUACUGGGCGUAAAGCGUGCGCAGGCGGUUUUGUAAGACAGAUGUGAAAUCCCCGGGCUCAACCUGGGACCUGCAUUUGUGACUGCAAGGCUAGAGUACGGUAGAGGGGAUGGAAUUCCGCGUGUAGCAGUGAAAUGCGUAGAUAUGCGGAGGAACACCGAUGGCGAAGGCAAUCCCCUGGACCUGUACUGACGCUCAUGCACGAAAGCGUGGGGAGCAAACAGGAUUAGAUACCCUGGUAGUCCACGCCUAAACGAUGUCAACUGGUUGUUGGGUCUUUACUGACUCAGUAACGAAGCUAACGCGUGAAGUUGACCGCCUGGGGAGUACGGCCGCAAGGUUG
rnacentral:rRNA from 1 species